UACGAAGGGGGCUAGCGUUGUUCGGAUUUACUGGGCGUAAAGCGCACGUAGGCGAUUUGUUAAGUCAGGGGUGAAAUCCCAGAGCUCAACUCUGGAACUGCCUUUGAUACUGGCAAGCUCGAGUCCGGAAGAGGUAAGUGGAACUCCUAGUGUAGAGGUGGAAUUCGUAGAUAUUAGGAAGAACACCAGUGGCGAAGGCGGCUUACUGGUCCGGAACUGACGCUGAGGUGCGAAAGCGUGGGGAGCAAACAGG
rnacentral:rRNA from 1 species